UCCCUGAUGGUUCAGUGGCUAAGACUCCACACUCCCAGCGUAGGGUGCCCAGGUUCGAUUCCUAGUCGGGGAA
rnacentral:tRNA from 1 species